rnacentral:rRNA from 1 species
UGCAGUCGAACGAACCUUCGGGUUAGUGGCGGACGGGUGAGUAACGCGUGAGAAUCUGCCCUCAGGAGGGGGAUAACAGCUGGAAACGGCUGCUAAUACCCCAUAUGCCGCGAGGUGAAAUGAAUUUCGCCUGAGGAUGAGCUCGCGUCUGAUUAGCUAGUUGGUGUAGGUAAAGGCUCACCAAGGCAUCGAUCAGUAGCUGGUCUGAGAGGAUGAUCAGCCACACUGGGACUGAGACACGGCCCAGACUCCUACGGGAGGCAGCAGUGGGGAAUUUUCCGCAAUGGGCGAAAGCCUGACGGAGCAACGCCGCGUGAGGGAUGAAGGCCUCUGGGCUGUAAACCUCUUUUAUCAAGGAAGAAGAUCUGACGGUACUUGAUGAAUAAGCCACGGCUAAUUCCGUGCCAGCAGCCGCGGUAAUACGGGAGUGGCAAGCGUUAUCCGGAAUUAUUGGGCGUAAAGCGUCCGCAGGCGGCCCUUCAAGUCUGCUGUUAAAAAGUGGAGCUUAACUCCAUCAUGGCAGUGGAAACUGUUGGGCUUGAGUGUGGUAGGGGCAGAGGGAAUUCCCGGUGUAGCGGUGAAAUGCGUAGAUAUCGGGAAGAACACCAGUGGCGAAGGCGCUCUGCUGGGCCAUCACUGACGCUCAUGGACGAAAGCCAGGGGAGCGAAAGGGAUUAGAUACCCCUGUAGUCCUGGCCGUAAACGAUGAACACUAGGUGUCGGGGGGAAUCGACCCCCUCGGUGUCGUAGCCAACGCGUUAAGUGUUCCGCCUGGGGAGUACGCACGCAAGUGUGAAACUCAAAGGAAUUGACGGGGGCCCGCACAAGCGGUGGAGUAUGUGGUUUAAUUCGAUGCAACGCGAAGAACCUUACCAGGGUUUGACAUCCUACGAAUCUCUUGGAAACGAGAGAGUGCCUUCGGGAGCGCAGUGACAGGUGGUGCAUGGCUGUCGUCAGCUC